GAUGAAGAACGCAGCGAAAUGCGAUAAGUAAUGCGAAUUGCAGAAUUUCCGUGAGUCAUCGAAUCUUUGAACGCACAUUGCGCCCCCUGGUAUUCCGGGGGGCAUGCCUGUCCGAGCGUCAUUGAACGCAACUCAAGCCCGGCUUGUGUGUUGGGCCAUCGUCCCCACGUGCCGUGCCUCCCGUGCGCGGCCGGGGACGGGCCUGAAAGGCAGUGGCGACGUCGCGGUUUCCCGCGAUCAGCCCGAGCGUAUGGGGCUCUGUCAUCACGCUCGCGGCGCGGACCGACGUCGGCCUCCCGUCUUCUCUCUCUCUCAGGGUUGACCUCGGAUCAGGUAGGGAUACCCGCUGAACUUAAGCAUAUCAAUAAGCGGAGGA
rnacentral:misc_RNA from 1 species